UAAUUGAGAACGGAGGAAACCCUGCACACAUUCAGUUAAAAUUGAAGCAUCAAACAGAAAUAAGCUGGCCUUUACCACUUGUGCUAAGAAAAUGAAAACAAGACCUAUUUUAAGAAGAUAUGAACAAUUAUAAUUUCUACCCAUUGUAUUUUCCUUUUCUUUUUCCUCUCUUAUAUCUAAGACAAGUCACUUUUCUCCUUAGGUGUUAUAUUAGGAUGCAACUAAUAUAAAA
rnacentral:misc_RNA from 1 species